GGGACAGUGGCUUCCCUGGGCAGGCUGGAGCAAGAGGACUGCCUGGCCUCAAAGGACCUCCAGGACUCCUAGGACUCAAAGGACCCAAAGGUGAAUUGGGCGACAGAGGAGACCGAGGUCCCACGGUGCGAGGGGCCAAGGGCCAGCCAGGACCUCCCGGUCUACCAGGUGAGCCCGGAAAGCCUGGUUACGGCCAGGAGGGACGUGACGGCGAGAGAGGACCUCCAGGUGUUCCUGGCCAGGCUGGUGUACCUGGGCCUCCUGGUAAUGCUGGCCCCAAUGGCUACUGCGACCCAUCGUCCUGCAACCUCAGACCGGGGGACAUUGACACCAGCAUCAAGGGCCCGGAGGGAACUAGAAACUAGAGCCACCACCCAGUGGAGGCUGGUGUCACUUUAAAUCUGAGGACUGGAUCUAAUGGCUAUAAUGGAAUGAAUGGAAAAGUUUCAAACACCUUGGAUUCUGUUCCAUUUAUUCCAUUAGAGCCAUCAC